ACAAGAUAUUCCAAGUAAUAUUUGUCGAUUAAUUAUUUAAUAACAAAACAUUCGUAACGAGUGAUAAUCCUCUUAUCACCUAUCGACUUAUAUAAGGCUUUGACAAGAACACCACUCUGUAGUUGUCACCAAGAUAGCAAGCAAAAAUGAAAUACUUCGUUAUCCUCCUAGUUUUGGUUGUUGCCAUUUCGGCCACCCCUUAUGGGGAAAAUGAACGUCGUGGGGGAAGCCUAGGCCGUCAGGGAGGACAAACUGGGUUCGGAGGAACUCAAGGACAAAGCGGUUUCGGCAGUCAAGGACGCCAAGGAGGAACCUUCCGUGAAGGAGGAAUUGCCAACAGUCAAGGAGCCGGUCGCCAUGGCAACAUUGGAGGAUACCCCGGCACUUACCAUGGCGGCAGCCGAGGCACCCACCAAGGGGGUUACCAAAGCCACGGCUACUAGAUGUAUUAAAGUAAAAUAAAACGUUCCAAAAAUAAUAUCUCGUUUUUUUCGUCCCUAAAAUGCAAUUUGUGUAAAAAAUAACCAUUAUUUUUGAUUAUCUACGGUGGGAUUCAUUCAUUUUUUCACAAUUCGGCACACCAGUCAUCGGAAAAAGGUUGCCGUAAAUCACCCGUAAAGGGUAUCCUGAUGUCUCUAUUUAAGCACCCGUUGGUUGAUUCAUCACUUAAAUGUGUUUGAUUUGGUACGAGAAUGCGCCAAUAUUUUGUCAUUUUGCUAUCGCUGGUGGCUGUUGCCAUAGCCAUUCCAGCCGAUAUUAACGUGAGAAAAAACACACAAAUCCGUACUAGAAAUACGGAACCACGUCAACAGUCUGAGGAAAAUCCCGCUGAAACUCCCGAUCCUGAAAAUGCCUCUGAAAUGACUAACAAGAUUCUGGAAUGUCGUGGAAUUUUACAACAAGCUGGAAUGAUUGAUUUGAACCAAAAUGCCAAACCUACGGAACCAACACAACCAGAAGGUGAAACUGAAGAACCGAGAAAGGUGGAAGCUUCGUUGAAUAUUCGAAGGACUGGACGAAGAUUCUAAUUAUCUGUAUUAUGACCACUGGACUGUUAAAUGUAUUUGUAAGUACUUAUUGCCCUAUCAGUAUUUAGUGUUAUUGUGACUGUAUAUGCAAAUUAAAGCUUGAUAAAGAGACCUUUGUUUUCUUUCGUUUCCUCCAAUUUGUGCUCUUCUCACCUUCGAAUUUGCAUAGAUAGGGACAUAAUGAAAAGAGGAACAAGUAUAAAAGGUGACGAAAAAUCUUGCUUGAAGUGUGUUUGUGUUUGUGGUUACUCCAAGUUUACAAAAUGUCUCUACAAAGGAAAAAUCAUUUGCCAUUGAUGGAUUUUCUGACCCUUUUUAUUCACAUCACAAUGGAUAUUAUCCUGGAAGACAUCCUUGUCAUUUCCACAGACCGCAUACGUAUCAUUCCUACCAUAGGAGACCCUAUUUCUCAAGAGAUUCUACUAAUGAUUAUUAAAAUGUCCCAUACUUAGAUAUUUUAUGUUAUUAAAGAAUUUUAAAAUUUUUAGAGCAAACCAAAAUCAAAAAUAAAAGUCUCUUCUUUUUAUAAAUAAAGAUUACACGUUUAACUAAAUAGGGGUCAUCUUACGGUCAAGGUUUAUUUAGCCUUUUCUUGUUUGAUUUGUAAUGUUAGGCAACACACAAUCACGAUAGCUGUAUAGAUAACUGCAUAUAUUUGUAAAUUUUAAAAAUAAAAAUUUUAAGAAAU